CUGUGACUCCUACGGGGAGGCAGCAGUGGGGAAUAUUGCACAAUGGGGGAAACCCUGAUGCAGCCAUGCCGCGUGUGUGAAGAAGGCCUUCGGGGUUGUAAAGCACUUUCAGUAGGGAGGAAGGUAGUGUAGUUAACACCUGCAUUAUUUGACGUUACCUACAGAAGAAGCACCGGCUAACUCCGUGCCAGCAGCCGCGGUAAUACGGAGGGUGCGAGCGUUAAUCGGAAUUACUGGGCGUAAAGCGCAUGCAGGCGGCCAGUUAAGUCAGAUGUGAAAGCCCGGGGCUUAACCUCGGAAUUGCAUUUGAAACUGGCAGGCUAGAGUCUUGUAGAGGGGGGUAGGAAUUUCAGGUGUAGCGGUGAAAUGCGUAGAGAUCUGAAGGAAUACCAGUGGCGAAGGCGGCCCCCUGGACAAAGACUGACGCUCAGAUGCGAAAGCGUGGGGAGCAAACAGGAUUAGAUACCCUGGUAG
rnacentral:rRNA from 1 species